rnacentral:rRNA from 1 species
UACAUAGGGGGCAAGCGUUGUUCGGAAUUACUGGGCGUAAAGGGCGCGUAGGCGGCCUGCUAAGUCGAACGUGAAAUCCCUGGGCUCAACCCAGGAACUGCGUCCGAUACUGGUUGGCUUGAAUCCGGGAGAGGGAUGUGGAAUUCCAGGUGUAGCGGUGAAAUGCGUAGAUAUCUGGAGGAACACCGGUGGCGAAGGCGACAUCCUGGACCGGCAUUGACGCUGAGGCGCGAAAGCUAGGGGAGCAAACGGG